UACGUAGGGGGCAAGCGUUGUUCGGAAUUACUGGGCGUAAAGGGCGCGUAGGCGGCACGGCAAGUCGGGAGUGAAAGCCCGGGGCUCAACCCCGGAACGGCUCUCGAAACUGCCGAGCUAGAGUGCGGAAGGGGCAACUGGAAUUCCCAGUGUAGCGGUGAAAUGCGUAGAGAUCUGGAGGAACACCGAUGGCGAAGGCAGCCCCCUGGGCUAACACUGACGCUCAUGCACGAAAGCGUGGGGAGCAAACAGG
rnacentral:rRNA from 1 species